GGUUAAGCGACUAAGCGUACACGGUGGAUGCCCUGGCAGUCAGAGGCGAUGAAGGACGUGCUAAUCUGCGAUAAGCGUCGGUAAGGUGAUAUGAACCGUUAUAACCGGCGAUUUCCGAAUGGGGAAACCCAGUGUGUUUCGACACACUAUCAUUAACUGAAUCCAUAGGUUAAUGAGGCGAACCGGGGGAACUGAAACAUCUAAGUACCCCGAGGAAAAGAAAUCAACCGAGAUUCCCCCAGUAGCGGCGAGCGAACGGGGAGCAGCCCAGAGCCUGAAUCAGUGUGUGUGUUAGUGGAAGCGUCUGGAAAGGCGCGCGAUACAGGGUGACAGCCCCGUACACAAAAAUACACAUACUGUGAGCUCGAUGAGUAGGGCGGGACACGUGGUAUCCUGUCUGAAUAUGGGGGGACCAUCCUCCAAGGCUAAAUACUCCUGACUGACCGAUAGUGAACCAGUACCGUGAGGGAAAGGCGAAAAGAACCCCGGCGAGGGGAGUGAAAAAGAACCUGAAACCGUGUACGUACAAGCAGUGGGAGCACGCUUAGGCGUGUGACUGCGUACCUUUUGUAUAAUGGGUCAGCGACUUAUAUUCUGUAGCAAGGUUAACCGAAUAGGGGAGCCGAAGGGAAACCGAGUCUUAACUGGGCGUUAAGUUGCAGGGUAUAGACCCGAAACCCGGUGAUCUAGCCAUGGGCAGGUUGAAGGUUGGGUAACACUAACUGGAGGACCGAACCGACUAAUGUUGAAAAAUUAGCGGAUGACUUGUGGCUGGGGGUGAAAGGCCAAUCAAACCGGGAGAUAGCUGGUUCUCCCCGAAAGCUAUUUAGGUAGCGCCUCGUGAAUUCAUCUCCGGGGGUAGAGCACUGUUUCGGCAAGGGGGUCAUCCCGACUUACCAACCCGAUGCAAACUGCGAAUACCGGAGAAUGUUAUCACGGGAGACACACGGCGGGUGCUAACGUCCGUCGUGAAGAGGGAAACAACCCAGACCGCCAGCUAAGGUCCCAAAGUCAUGGUUAAGUGGGAAACGAUGUGGGAAGGCCCAGACAGCCAGGAUGUUGGCUUAGAAGCAGCCAUCAUUUAAAGAAAGCGUAAUAGCUCACUGGUCGAGUCGGCCUGCGCGGAAGAUGUAACGGGGCUAAACCAUGCACCGAAGCUGCGGCAGCGACGCUGAUGCGUUGUUGGGUAGGGGAGCGUUCUGUAAGCCUGCGAAGGUGUGCUGUGAGGCAUGCUGGAGGUAUCAGAAGUGCGAAUGCUGACAUAAGUAACGAUAAAGCGGGUGAAAAGCCCGCUCGCCGGAAGACCAAGGGUUCCUGUCCAACGUUAAUCGGGGCAGGGUGAGUCGACCCCUAAGGCGAGGCCGAAAGGCGUAGUCGAUGGGAAACAGGUUAAUAUUCCUGUACUUGGUGUUACUGCGAAGGGGGGACGGAGAAGGCUAUGUUGGCCGGGCGACGGUUGUCCCGGUUUAAGCGUGUAGGCUGGUUUUCCAGGCAAAUCCGGAAAAUCAAGGCUGAGGCGUGAUGACGAGGCACUACGGUGCUGAAGCAACAAAUGCCCUGCUUCCAGGAAAAGCCUCUAAGCAUCAGGUAACAUCAAAUCGUACCCCAAACCGACACAGGUGGUCAGGUAGAGAAUACCAAGGCGCUUGAGAGAACUCGGGUGAAGGAACUAGGCAAAAUGGUGCCGUAACUUCGGGAGAAGGCACGCUGAUAUGUAGGUGAAGUCCCUCGCGGAUGGAGCUGAAAUCAGUCGAAGAUACCAGCUGGCUGCAACUGUUUAUUAAAAACACAGCACUGUGCAAACACGAAAGUGGACGUAUACGGUGUGACGCCUGCCCGGUGCCGGAAGGUUAAUUGAUGGGGUUAGCGCAAGCGAAGCUCUUGAUCGAAGCCCCGGUAAACGGCGGCCGUAACUAUAACGGUCCUAAGGUAGCGAAAUUCCUUGUCGGGUAAGUUCCGACCUGCACGAAUGGCGUAAUGAUGGCCAGGCUGUCUCCACCCGAGACUCAGUGAAAUUGAACUCGCUGUGAAGAUGCAGUGUACCCGCGGCAAGACGGAAAGACCCCGUGAACCUUUACUAUAGCUUGACACUGAACAUUGAGCCUUGAUGUGUAGGAUAGGUGGGAGGCUUAGAAGUGUGGACGCCAGUCUGCAUGGAGCCGGCCUUGAAAUACCACCCUUUAAUGUUUGAUGUUCUAACGUGGACCCGUAAUCCGGGUUGCGGACAGUGUCUGGUGGGUAGUUUGACUGGGGCGGUCUCCUCCUAAAGAGUAACGGAGGAGCACGAAGGUUGGCUAAUCCUGGUCGGACAUCAGGAGGUUAGUGCAAUGGCAUAAGCCAGCUUGACUGCGAGCGUGACGGCGCGAGCAGGUGCGAAAGCAGGUCAUAGUGAUCCGGUGGUUCUGAAUGGAAGGGCCAUCGCUCAACGGAUAAAAGGUACUCCGGGGAUAACAGGCUGAUACCGCCCAAGAGUUCAUAUCGACGGCGGUGUUUGGCACCUCGAUGUCGGCUCAUCACAUCCUGGGGCUGAAGUAGGUCCCAAGGGUAUGGCUGUUCGCCAUUUAAAGUGGUACGCGAGCUGGGUUUAGAACGUCGUGAGACAGUUCGGUCCCUAUCUGCCGUGGGCGCUGGAGAACUGAGGGGGGCUGCUCCUAGUACGAGAGGACCGGAGUGGACGCAUCACUGGUGUUCGGGUUGUCAUGCCAAUGGCACUGCCCGGUAGCUAAAUGCGGAAGAGAUAAGUGCUGAAAGCAUCUAAGCACGAAACUUGCCCCGAGAUGAGUUCUCCCUGACUCCUUGAGAGUCCUGAAGGAACGUUGAAGACGACGACGUUGAUAGGCCGGGUGUGUAAGCGCAGCGAUGCGUUGAGCUAACCGGUACUAAUGAACCGUGAGGCUUAACCUU
rnacentral:rRNA from 1 species